GACGUAGGAGGCGAGCGUUGUCCGGAUUCAUUGGGCGUAAAGAGCGCGCAGGCGGCUUGGUAAGUCGGAUGUGGAAACCCGAGGCUCAACCUCGGGCGUGCAUCCGAUACUGCUCGGCUAGAGGUAGGUAGGGGAGAUCGGAAUUCCUGGUGUAGCGGUGAAAUGCGCAGAUAUCAGGAGGAACACCGGUGGCGAAGGCGGAUCUCUGGGCCUUACCUGACGCUCAGGCGCGAAAGCUAGGGGAGCGAACUGG
rnacentral:rRNA from 1 species